rnacentral:rRNA from 1 species
UACGUAGGGUCCAAGCGUUAUCCGGAAUCACUGGGCGUAAAGCGUGCGUAGGUGGAUGUUUAAGUGUGAUGUUAAAUCGUGGGGCUCAACCCUGUCGAUGCAUCGCAUACUGGACGUCUAGAGGACAGCAGAGGCAAGUGGAAUUGGUAGUGUAGCAGUGAAAUGCGUAGAUAUUACCAGGAACACCAAUGGCGAAGGCAGCUUGCUGGGCUACUCCUGACACUGAGGUACGAAAGCGUGGGGAGCGAACAGG